rnacentral:rRNA from 1 species
GAUGAACGCUGGCGGCGUGCCUAAUACAUGCAAGUCGAGCGAACAGAUAAGGAGCUUGCUCCUUUGACGUUAGCGGCGGAAGGGUGAGUAACACGUGGGUAACCUACCUAUAAGACUGGGAUAACUUCGGGAAACCGGAGCUAAUACCGGAUAACAUUUGGAACCGCAUGGUUCUAAAGUGAAAGAUGGUUUUGCUAUCACUUAUAGAUGGACCCGCGCCGUAUUAGCUAGUUGGUAAGGUAACGGCUUACCAAGGCAACGAUACGUAGCCGACCUGAGAGGGUGAUCGGCCACACUGGAACUGAGACACGGUCCAGACUCCUACGGGAGGCAGCAGUAGGGAAUCUUCCGCAAUGGGCGAAAGCCUGACGGAGCAACGCCGCGUGAGUGAUGAAGGGUUUCGGCUCGUAAAACUCUGUUAUUAGGGAAGAACAAACGUGUAAGUAACUGUGCACGUCUUGACGGUACCCAAUCAGAAAGCCACGGCUAACUACGUG